UACGAAGGUCCCUAGCGUUGUUCGGAAUCAUUGGGCGUAAAGCGCACGUAGGUGGCUUUGCAAGUCAGGUGUGAAAGCCUCGGGCUCAACCCGAGAAGUGCACUUGAAACUGCUUAGCUUGAGUACGGGAGAGGUGAGUGGAAUUCCUGGUGUAGUGGUGAAAUACGUAGAUAUCAGGAGGAACACCGGUGGCGAAGGCGGCUCACUGGCCCAGUACUGACACUGAGGUGCGAAAGCAUGGGGAUCAAACAGG
rnacentral:rRNA from 1 species